rnacentral:siRNA from 1 species
GAUCACUUAAACACUUCCGUAAUU